rnacentral:lncRNA from 1 species
CCAGGACUGGAAGCUGCAGCCCUUGGUUUGAGGCGUGGCCGGCUUGGAGGCGGAGUUUGUGCCGGUUUGGAAUCGGUCACAGGAGGAGGAGGGAAGGGGGCGGGCGCUGCGCGCUGAGCUCCUGACUCAGAGACAGCGCUCGGCCCGGACGAUGGCGACCGCGAUGGCUGCGAGCGCCGCGGAGCGGGCAGUACUGGAGGAGGAGUUUCGCUGGUUGCUGCACGCUGAGGUGCACGCCGUGCUGAGACAGCUACAGGACAUCCUUAAGGAGGCCUCUCUUCGCUUCACUCUCCCCGGCCCCAGCACCGAGGGUCCUGCCAAGCAGGAGAACUUCAUCCUGGGCAGCUGUGGCACAGACCAGGUGAAAGGGGUGCUGACUCUGCAAGGGGAUGCCCUCAGCCAAGCGGUGAGUCCCCCAGGGCCCUGUCCCCCAACAGUCCUGCUUAUGGCUUAUCUCAGCUCUGCCACCAGCUAGCUGUGUGACCCUGGGUAUGAGCCUUGUCUUCCCUAACCUGCUUCCUUGUAUAUCUGUAACGUGAGCUAGGCUUAUAGAUUCAGGGAGGGACAAGAAACGGGUGGCUUUACACUCGGUUUGGCCUGGCAUCCGGACCCUGUGAAAUACCAACACUGGAAGCCUAGGCAGGCUGGCCCCACAUCAGAGUUGAACCGGCCACCCUCUGAGCUAAGACAUGGGGCGCAGGGGUGGGGGUGGGGUCCCUCUCCAUGGUUCAGUCUACACCACUCCCCUGUCUCAGCUUACCUCUCUCACUGCUUUGUGGUUCUUCCUGGAUCUGAGUGCCUGUUUCUUGACAUUCCUGUUUAUCUCCCAACCGGUUGGCUGAGGUGCCUGGGGCCUCAGCCACCUGUCUGCUGCAUUGGUGGCUCAUAGGAUGUGAACUUGAAGAUGCCUCGGAACAACCAGUUGUUGCACUUCGCCUUCCGG